CAAUCUGUCUUGCAUCAUACCCAGCUGAUUUUCUCCCAUCUCAUGCAAGCCCAUGUGGUGACAGAAUGAACUGUGCUCAACCCAGCGUAGCAGCCAGUCCCCCAAUGGGAGAAGAAUUGCCAGGACCCUCAGUUCCACAAACGUCAGUUCAACAAUCGUCAGCAGCUUCAACCUGGGCCACUGAAGUCAACCCC